rnacentral:rRNA from 1 species
UGAGGAAUAUUGGUCAAUGGACGAGAGUCUGAACCAGCCAAGUAGCGUGCAGGAUGACGGCCCUCCGGGUUGUAAACUGCUUUUAGUUGGGAAUAAAAGAGGCGACGUGUCGCCUAUUGUAUGUACCAUCAGAAAAAGGACCGGCUAAUUCCGUGCCAGCAGCCGCGGUAAUACGGAAGGUCCGGGCGUUAUCCGGAUUUAUUGGGUUUAAAGGGAGCGUAGGCCGCUGUUUAAGCGUGUUGUGAAAAACCGGGGCUCAACUCCGGUCGUGCAGCGCGAACUGGACGGCUUGAGUGCGCGGUAAGUGGGCGGAAUUUGUGGUGUAGCGGUGAAAUGCUUAGAUAUCACGAAGAACUCCGAUUGCGAAGGCAGCUCACUGUAGCGCAACUGACGCUGAAGCUCGAAAGUGCGGGUAUCGAACAGGAUUAGAUACCCUGGUAGU